rnacentral:misc_RNA from 1 species
CAAUAAGUGUUUAAUGGCACUUGAAAUCCAUUACCCACCUUGUGUGCAAUGUCGGGGGGGAGUGGAGGGGUGCGAACCUCUUCCCUUCCCUUUUCAUACAUACUCGUACUUUCAGUAUCAGUCUACAACCUAUUUGGAGUAAUAAAAAAACUCGAAAUA